rnacentral:ncRNA from 2 species
CGUAAAAUCCGCCCCGUUGGUGCUCGCGGUGUGGUUCACAUGCCGCAGUUCAACGGGAAGCAGGGAGGCAUCGUCACCACGUGGCGUGCCCAGCCUGCGCUGCCCCCGCAACGGUCAGCGGACGAAUCUGCUUUUGAUUCUCUCUCCAUCCAUACGCCACUGUGUGCCCUGAACAAGCACAUGGGAAGGCAUUGGGGGGUGUUCCGCCAGCCCGGAUACCGGCCAACACGGUGGCUGCGUG